UUGCUCUUCAACGAGGAAUGCCUAGUAGGCGCAAGUCAUCAGCUUGUGCCGAUUACGUCCCUGCCCUUUGUACACACCGCCCGUCGCUACUACCGAUUGAAUGGCUCAGUGAGGCCUUCGGACUGGCCCAGGGAGGUUGGAAACGACCGCCCAGGGCCGGAAAGUUGUUCAAACUCGGUCAUUUAGAGGAAGUAAAAGUCGUAACAAGGUUUCCGUAGGUGAACCUGCGGAAGGAUCAUUAAAGCGCCGCCGACGCGGGCCCCUGACGUCCAGGCUUGAGAUACAGCCUGGGCGGUUCUGGCGGACCCCGGCAGUUGCCCAUUCUUGACUACUGACCCAGUUGCCUCGGCGGGCCGUUCCGCCCGCGGCCGGCCGGAAGCCCCCUAGACCGCCAGGUCCAGGCGGCCCUGGUCUGCGCCCGCCGAAGGACAGUUAAAAAAAAUCUUUACAUCUUGGCCGUCUGAGCGUAUAAAGCAAAAUCAGUUAAAACUUUCAACAACGGAUCUCUUGGUUCCGGCAUCGAUGAAGAACGCAGCGAAAUGCGAUAAGUAAUGUGAAUUGCAGAAUUCCGUGAAUCAUCGAAUCUUUGAACGCACAUUGCGCCCUCUGGUAUUCCGGGGGGCAUGCCUGUUCGAGCGUCAUUGCAACCCUCAAGCCCGGCUUGUGUUAUGGACGACCGUCCUUCCCUUAGGGGCGGGACGCGCCCGAAAGGCAGUGGCUAGGCCGCGAUUCCGGCGCCUGAGCGAAUGGGACUUCCACCGCUUCUAGGACCGGCCGGCACCUUUGGCCUUAUAACCAACGGGUCCUUUAACGGACUCCUUCUAGGUUGACCUCGGAUCAGGUAGGGAUACCCGCUGAACUUAAGCAUAUCAAUAAGCGGAGGA
rnacentral:rRNA from 1 species